rnacentral:RNase_P_RNA from 1 species
CGAGCUGGCCAGGCGGCCGCGUCGAGCACCCGCAAGGACUGCUCGCCGAGGAACGUCCGGACUCCACAGGGCAGGGUGAUGGCUAACGGCCACCCGGGGUGACCCGCGGGAAAGUGCCACAGAAAACAGACCGCCGUCUGCGGCGCGGCAGGGCUUCGGCCCGGCCGCGGCGUGGCGGUAAGGGUGAAACGGUGGUGUAAGAGACCACCAGCGUGCCGGGUGACCGGUGCGGCUCGGUAAACCCCACCCGGAGCAAGACCAGACAGCAUGCGUUCGAGGGCGGCCCGCCCGAGCAUGCGGGUAGGUCGCUCGAGGCCGUCGGCAACGACGGCCCUAGAUGGAUGGUCGCCACGGCGCCGCCGGUAACAGCGGCGCCGGACAGAAUCCGGCGUACCGGCCAGCUCGUCCA